UACGUAGGGUGCAAGCGUUGUCCGGAAUUAUUGGGCGUAAAGAGCUCGUAGGCGGUUUGUUGCGUCGGCUGUGAAAUCCCGAGGCUCAACCUCGGGUCUGUAGUCGAUACGAGCAAACUAGAGUGUUGCAGGGGAGACUGGAAUUCCUGGUGUAGCGGUGAAAUGCGCAGAUAUCAGGAGGAACACCGGUGGCGAAGGCGGGUCUCUGGGCCGAUACUGACGCUGAGGAGCGAAAGCGUGGGGAGCGAACAGG
rnacentral:rRNA from 1 species